UACGGAGGGUGCAAGCGUUAUCCGGAUUCACUGGGUUUAAAGGGUGCGUAGGCGGGUUGGUAAGUCAGUGGUGAAAUCUUCAAGCUUAACUUGGAAACUGCCGUUGAUACUAUCAAUCUUGAAUGUUGUGGAGGUAAGCGGAAUAUGUCAUGUAGCGGUGAAAUGCGUAGAUAUCUGGAGGAAUACCGGUGGCGAAGGCGGCAUCCUGGACCGACAUUGACGCUGAACGGCGAAAGCUAGGGGAGCAAACGGG
rnacentral:rRNA from 1 species